AAGAGAAUGAUACGUAUUGCACCAUCCAAGAACUUAAGGAUAAAAUACCACAGAUUGAAUGGAUCAAAUUUUUCAAAAUUGUACGGAAUGACGAAAUUCUUGAAAAUGAAACCGUGCCCGUUACUGAUCAGCAUUACAUCAUGAACGUUGCCAGUUUCAUUGUAAAUGCAAAUAAAAGGGUGCUGGCCAACUAUCUGAUAUGGAAACUUGUUGGAAAAGCUUUUCCGAUGUUGGGUCUGGACUGGACGCCUCGUCGAGAAAAAUGCUUCGAUUAUACUUAUGAAAAAUUCUCACUACUCCUUGAUUCCAUCUACCAAACACAAUACGUUCCA